AACGUAGGACGCAAGCGUUAUCCGGAGUUACUGGGCGUAAAGCGCGAGCAGGCGGCUCGACAAGUUCGAUGUGAAAGCGCCCGGCUCAAUCGGGCGAGGCCAUUGGAAACUAUCGAGCUGGAGGGCAGUAGAGGCAGGCGGAAUUCCGGGUGGAGUGGUGAAAUGCGUAGAGAUCCGGAGGAACACCAGAGGCGAAGGCGGCCUGCUGGGCUGCACCUGACGCUGAGCCGCGAAAGCCAGGGGAGCGAACGGG
rnacentral:rRNA from 1 species